UCCGAGAAUCUUUAAUUUCUGAACUAUGAUCUAUCAAAUACCAUAAUAUUAGAUCACGACGAUCAGAUUAUUAUAAAAUUUAAAUUAUUUAAAAUAUUAUAUUAAAUGAGUUGAGCCAUCCCUCCUCCAAAAGGCGCAUGAUGCAUCAAAUUUGGGCCCGUUACAUUACUCCUGUAUAUGCGUCCUGUGUUCCGAGAAACCGGGACCCGCCCCAGUCAUUCACUUGCUGAUACACGAACAAGAUUAAAAAAAGGACUGGUUUUGCCGUGGAGACACUUUCGGAAUAGAGACGUUGUCUCGUCAUCUCAUAAGUUAAUUAUCAAUAAAAUAGAAAACCAACGGCCAACAAGCAG
rnacentral:lncRNA from 1 species